UACGUAGGGUGCGAGCGUUAAUCGGAAUUACUGGGCGUAAAGCGUGCGCAGGCGGUUUUGUAAGCCAGAUGUGAAAUCCCGGGCUUAACCUGGGAACUGCAUUGGUGACUGCAAGGCUUGAGUGUGUCAGAGGGAGGUGGAAUUCCGCGUGUAGCAGUGAAAUGCGUAGAUAUGCGGAGGAACACCGAUGGCGAAGGCAGCCUCCUGGGAUAACACUGACGCUCAUGCACGAAAGCGUGGGGAGCAAACAGG
rnacentral:rRNA from 1 species